rnacentral:rRNA from 1 species
GACGAACGCUGGCGGCGUGCCUAACACAUGCAAGUCGAACGGAGAUAGAGAUUUCGAUUUUUAUCUUAGUGGCGCACGGGUGAGUAACACGUGAAUAACCUGACCCAAAGAGGGGGGAUAACACCUGGAAACAGGUGCUAAUACCGCAUAAGACCACAAUGCCGCAUGGCGAAGGGGUCAAAGAAAUUCGCUUUGGGAGGGGUUCGCGUCCCAUUAGGUAGUAGGCGGGGUAACGGCCCACCUAGCCGACGAUGGGUAGCCGAGCUGAGAGGCUGAUCGGCCACACUGGAACUGAGACACGGUCCAGACUCCUACGGGAGGCAGCAGUGGGGAAUAUUGGGCAAUGGGCGCAAGCCUGACCCAGCAACGCCGCGUGAGGGAAGAAGGUUUUCGGAUUGUAAACCUCUGUCGCAGAAGACGAAGGAAGUGACGGUAUUCUGUGAGGAAGCCCCGGCUAACUACGUG